rnacentral:rRNA from 1 species
AAUAAGGUUAUUAAUCUGAACAUUAAAAUUCAGAUUAAAUUAGCUAACCUUCCUCAAAGUUUAACAGUAAACACCACAUAGCCUUUAGGUUUAUAGAUUAAAUAGAGUUAUAUUCUUCAAUAAGGAAAAGUGAAAGAUAAAUUAGCUAUUUAUUCCAAAAGGAAAUUUUCUGCUAUAAGAUUCGAUUUAUUUUGUUUAAUGGUAGUUGGUAGAGUAAAAGCCUACCAAGCCUACGAUCAAAAGCCAUGUUUGAUAGAGCAGAUGGCCACAUUGGGAAUGAAAUGCCCCAAGUAGUAUUAACUACCAGCAGUCAAGAAUAUUAGUCAAUGCUCGCAAGAGUGAACUAGCUAACUGAAAUCACAUGACUCAUUAAUUGAUGGUGAUUGUGAUAACAUAAGGGAAAAAAAUGAUGUUACCUUAUUAUUAGUGUUGUCCAAAACUGGUGCCAGAAGACUCGGUAAGACCAGAGACGCAAACGUUAGUCAUCUUAAUCAGGCGUAAAGGGUGUGUAGGCUGCUUUAAAAGUUUAAUUCUUUGUAAUAGCUCUGUAAUCGUAUAUAUUUUUAUAUAUGGGACAAUAUAUAAAAAGAGACGUGUUACAGUAAAGAAAUAAAUGAAUAAAAGCUAGGAUCAAAUUGAGGAUAAGCCGAAUAAUACUUAGAGUAGGGGUUAAAUCCGCAGAUACUAAGGGGAAUACUAACGGUGAAAGCUUUUAUCUACUAUUGAUUGACGCUGAGAAACGAAGGUGAGAACAGGAAAUAGGAUUAGAUACCCAGAUACCUCUCACUGUCAACGAUGAAUGGUGGUUUGUUAGUUUUUGUCAAGAACUAGUAACGAUGUUAACACGAUAACCAUUCCGCCUUGCGAGUACGGUUGCAAAACUGAAACCAAAAAAAUUAGUCGGUCUCGAAGCAAACGAAGUGAAGCAUGUUAUUUAAUACGAGAAUACGCGUAAAACCUUACCAGUUCUUGCAUAUCCAAUGAUGUUCUUAGUUAAUUCUAAGUUCUUUUUAAUAAGAAAAACUAAUUGAGUAAUUUUUAUAAUAUUUAAAAAUUCGUUUACAGGUGUUGCAUGGCUGUCGUCAGUCCGUGCCGUGAGAAGUGAGGUUAACUCCACUAACGGACGAAAUCCCUGUUGUUAAUUUAUACUUAACAAUUAAUGAUUUUUAAAUAUUUUCAUUUGGGGCUAAGACAAGCCGUUAUGGUCCUCAUGAACUGGGCUAUAGACGUGCCACGAAAACUUUUACAAAGUGAAGCAAAACUAGACCUAUAAGCUAAUUGCUAGAUAGCUAAUUAGUGAUCAUUAAGAUUUCAAGGGUCAGAAGGAAUAGCUAAUCAUUAAAGAAAGUUAAUAAAUUAAAUAGUAUAACGGAUUGUCGCCUGUAAUUCGGUGACAUGAAGAAGGAAUUUCGAGUAAUCGUUGAUUAGUAGCGCAACGGUGAAGGAAGCAUUCGGGAUGAACUAACUGUCUGUCGCUGGGAAGAAGCUUAACUUGAGGGAAACUGCCGCGAGGUUAUAACUUUAAUAAAGGAAAACUUAUAUUAAUAAUAGCAAUGGUGAGAUUGAAUUAUCUCUAUAUU